UGAUGGGUAAGAGUUUUGGGGUUAUAGUUUAGGGGUUAGAGGUUUGGUGUUUUGCGAAGUGAUUUAAACAAGGCCACGCUAACUUCCGUGGCUACACAGUGGCUAUGAUAAAUCCAAUCGGUUUGGCUCCAAUUUAUUUGGUUUUGGCUCCACAAUUGUUUUUUAUUUCGCGGUUGAUAUUAAACCAAAGCCACUGUAAUUUCGUGGGCUUUUCGUGGCUAUGACGAAAUUUGGCAAAACCAUUCGGUUUGGCUCUAAUUUUUUGGUUUUG
rnacentral:lncRNA from 1 species